rnacentral:rRNA from 1 species
ACAGCAGCAGCCACGGUAAUACGUAGGGUGCAAGCGUUAAUCGGAAUUACUGGGCGUAAAGCGUGCGCAGGCGGUUAUAUAAGACAGAUGUGAAAUCCCCGGGCUCAACCUGGGAACUGCAUUUGUGACUGUAUAGCUAGAGUACGGCAGAGGGGGAUGGAAUUCCGCGUGUAGCAGUGAAAUGCGUAGAUAUGCGGAGGAACACCGAUGGCGAAGGCAAUCCCCUGGGCCUGUACUGACGCUCAUGCACGAAAGCGUGGGGAGCAAACAGGAUUAGAUACCCGGGUAGUCCCUGUCUCUUAUAC